CUGUUCAGACAGUUCUGAAACCUGUUUGGGACAGUUUAUCUCACAGACUUCCCGUGUCCAAGAUGUUCCAGCCAUCUGUUCAAGCAGUCAGAUUCUCACUGCAGGGCUCGUGGACGGAGGCUCUCUGGAAGAAAGUGCUGCCCAGGAGGAGCAGAAGUCAAAGAGCAACGCAGCCAGUCCUGCAGAGCCUGAGAGCUCAGACUGGGGAUCAAACUGCUGCGAAGGGAAAGCAGAGGUGGACCACCGAUGCCCGGAGGAGCACGGUGUCACUGCAGUGACAGCGAAGCAGAAGAAAGAAAGAAUAAAAACGAACAAGCAGCCGGACUCUACCUGUAGAGGGGUGCUUUUAUCAGACAGGAGCUCACCACAGGAAGAAGAAACACAGAUCCAAGGGGAAUCUUUUCAAACCGUCCGUCUGUCUGAACAGCAGCCUGCGAGUUUUCCCCAGGCUCAUUUGGAAAUGCUGAAGUCACCUUCAACAGGUCCUCAGGAAGCUCUGAGCCCAUCGCGGAGGUCCAGUUUGCCAGUUUCUUUGCUGAAAGUCAACGUGGUCAGUCCUUCACAGAGGAACAGGGAGAGCAUUGUCCAGAACCAACAAAUGCAGGUCUUCUGUGAGUCCAGUUCAAGCCACCAUGCAGUCACACCACAAAACCUUCUUACAAGAACGGAGCCCGCUCUUCAAUCGUUUUCACACCAAGAGCCAAAUCAAAGCAGUUUCCAUGUUUCACCUCAGCAGGAAGAGGCCACUGAGAGCAACUCCAGGACAACUGGAAGCUGUUCUAGGUCUUUAACUUCAGAAAGUCUCCAACACACGAGUUUCUCUUCUGACUUUAGAACCUUAUCGUCCGUGCAGUUCAGCCAAGUCUGUCAAGAAGACAGACCUCCUGCUGGACUUAAAGCAAACAGCCCACCGUCCAAAAACAUGCACAAUACCGGGCCUCUGUCAGAGCUGUUCACACAUCUGGACCCUAC